ACAAAAGUUGUCCAAAAUUGGCACCAAUGGUGGCGCUAUAACGAUCUGUAGAAGGCCACUUGCCUGUACGUAACGGUGAACUGUAUUGAUAUGUUUUGAUUCAUAAAUAUAGAAGAAAAGUAUAAUGCAUAUAUCUAAGCCAAUUCAUACUAGUUCAAGGUAAACAAAUGAUGUUUUUUUUUCUGAAGUUGAACUUAAAGGGGCAUGUUCACGAUUUUGGUCAAAUUUUAUUUUUCUGUUUUCUUUUGGAAUGCAUUUCUAAUGAUCAAAUGAAAUUUGGGUGCCAGUCGUUGAGUUUUAAGCAAGAUACAGGGAUCACAAAUCUUCAUCAUGUAAACAAGGCUCAUGCCCUGUUUUUGUUUACAUAGGUUCAAUAUACCAGUAACAAAUCUUUUUAAAGCUGGUUUGUCUAUCUUAUUAUUCAUUUAAAGCAUAAAUAAACAGUUCCUAACGAUUAACACAUUUAUUUUAGGUCUAAAACUGAAAUUUUGACUUCAACAUUCAAAAUGUAAACAAUCGCUUUGUUUACAUAGCAAAAAAUUGUAAGCUCUGUAACUCGCUUAUAACUCAUCAAAUGACACUCAAAUGGUUGCCUAUUGAAAUGCCUUACUAAAGCAUUGUUAACAUUAAAAUCGAAAAAAUGAAUUUUUGAUCAAAAUCGUGACCAUGCCCCUUUAAUUCAUUUUUUAUCUUUCAUUUAUUUUUUAUAAUUUUACAUUACAAAUAUUUUGAAUCAAUAGAUACCGAACCGUACUUACAAAUUUGUAGGCCUUGCAUUUCAGCGACCCAUUUUGAGCGGUGUUUUGGUCAUACAGAAGAGACAACACACAAAUUUCUUGGUCGUUUAACCUGAAUGAAAAAGCUUUGAAAGUUAUCUUUACCAAAAGUUAACAUUACCAAAAGAUAGUCAGAAAAACAAACCCAUGAUUCUAAAAUCAACUCUGGUCAAAACAGCGAAUUAAAAAUGUUUUUUGUGUUCUUUGGUAAAAUCAACAGCCCAUUUACAAUUUUCAUUUUCAUGUGUACUGUAUUUAAAAGCCAUGACUCCGGCAUGAGUGCUUUGUUUAUUGUUAAGUUGCAUGUAGUCAAAUCUCUUUAUAAAGGAAAUAAAGUAGGAUUGAUAGAUUUAAUUUGUCUCAAUUCUGAUAUGUAUAAAUUUAUACGUUCUAACACAAUUUAGACCCUAUUUUUAUGUGAACCAAACAAUGGGUGAAAUUAAAAUAGACAAAGAAAUAAAAAGGAAAAUAUAAUUAUUGCAUGUAAAUUUUAAAAAAAAAAUAACAUCAUGAAUUCUCAAGAUUUCUAUGUUAAAGUGUCAUCUCCUUGAACCCCAGAAUUAGUUUAAGGAUCAAAGUUUGAACAACAUAGAAACUACACUAUAUUUUUUUCUAUAUACAUUGAACUUCUUGGGGGCCCAGAAUUGGCCCGGAGUCACGGUUUGAACAAUUCAAAAUCUAUAAAACACAAAGAAUCCUUGUUGUAUAUAUCAUUUCUAUGAUAGUUAUUCUUAAGAAGAACAUUUUAAAUACUUCCCCAUUAAAUGCCAAUGCUGAGCUUUGAAACCUCCUGGAUUUUUGUCCGGCAAUCACAGUUUGAACAAUUAUUUGUUUAUUGGUAUUCCUACAUGAAUGUAAAAGCAUUUUUGCUCCCGAUUUUGGUACGAGUCUCAUGAUUUGGAAUAUUUAGUAUACUAGUAUACACAGUUCAUAGAUGAAGACGCUUUGUUGAAAAUACUAGUAUUGCUGAUACGAGGUUUCUUAUGCAUGUUUGGAACAAUUUUGAAAUAUUAUACGCCGUACAUAGACGAUCUGCUGUAAAUAUCAGCAUUUCUGUUACAGGGGAUUCUUGGGAAGUUUCUUUUCACAUUAAAAAA
rnacentral:sRNA from 1 species